rnacentral:tRNA from 1 species
GCGUGAGUGGCGGAAUUGGCAGACGCGCUGGACUUAGAAUCCAGUGGACCUUAUAAGCCCGUGUGGGUUCAAGUCCCACCUCGCGCACCA